AUCCAUUACUAUACUAUUCUAAACUGAGUGUAUAGGGAACGAUUUCGAACACAGCUUCAGAAUGCAUUCUGACGCAUGUCAAACGAAGCCGCAUGCCUAAUCAAAAACAUGCCUAUUGUCCUUAGGGGGCUUUUAUUUUGCCUAUUAAAUUCGCGUAUAUAUAAGGUGAUGCACUUCCCGUCGACCUCUUCUGCUUCUACAACCGCGUGUCAUAAAGCUGUGGAGAUGAGCAGCCAAAGAGUUGGAGACGUUCCGUCUGAAGCUUGUACCGUUGAUCAAGCCCAUCUGCCAAAGAUGCAGACAUUUUGUGUGAAGCUCGUAACGUCGAUCCAGCUGGUCCACAGCCAAAGAUGCAGACAUUUUGUGUGAAGCCCGUAUCGUCGAUCCCGCUGGUCCACAGCCAAAGAUGCAGACAUUUUGUGUGAAGCCCGUAUCGUCGAUCCCGCUGGUCCACAGUCAAAGAUGCAGACAUUUUGUGUGAAGCUUGUAUCGUCGGUCCAGCUGGUCCACAGCCAAAGAUGCAGACAUUUUGUGUGAAGCCCGUAUCGUCGAUCCCGCUGGUCCACAGGUAACAUCCAUCUUAUUAUAUAAUAACUAUCGCUCUUAAGAAGUGCUAUGGUCUGUGAUGAAAAAACAUGCACCACGCUGAACCAGUGAUGUAUAACCCAUUGCUUUCUGAGGCCUUCAAAUGGCAACGACCAUUAUAUUCACUCGUAAAACUAGAUAUUUUGUAGAAAUUGUCAAAAUACCCUUGUUGACAACGGAGGCGAAAUGUUAAUUUCACAUCAAGGUCACUUUCCAUCCAGUGUUUUUACUAAUCUCUUCAUAAAUUGUUUCACCACAGCCAAAGAUGCUGACAUUUUGUGUGAGGCUCGCAUCGUCGAUCCAGCUGUUCCACAGGUAAUGUCCAGCUGAUACAUAUAGUAUAAUUAUCACUCUUGGUAUGGUCUGUUCUGUGAUGAAAAAACAUACACCACACUGAACGAGUGAUGGAUAACCCUACAACCUCCUGAGACCAACCAUGAUUAAUCAGCUGCUGAUCAAAUUAGAAUAAUUUCACAUAUUUGCAAGGUCAAAACUGGCAGUAAUUUAUACUAAUACAAAUGUGUAUUUUGAAUGCCAAAUUAUCUUUAGAUAGAAAAAUUUAAUUAUUUUAUUCACCCCAGGAGACAAUCCAGUGAUGACCAUAGAGUGCUAGAUGGAUAAGAUGCCGGAUCUCUUACUAAUACCAUUAAAAAUGAUUGUAAACCUGCAUUUGUUUUAAAACACGAUGACUAGUCUGAUGAAUAAACAUGCAUCCUUGUGAACAACUGUAUAACCAUACAUAUUCUGAGACCAACUGGAUAUGGUAGUCAAAAUGUUGUAACUUAUUUGGAUGUACCACAUUUGUAUCCUCCCAAGAGUUUUGGAUUGUAUUUUAAAGCAAGCGUUUACCCUUCCACUUUCAAGGUUGUUCGGACCUGGCAAUUGUAGAACAUCAUGCUGGUUCUACAGACACGGAAGGCACAAAGCACUGCAGACGGAAGGUAUAAUAUGCAUUCAAUAUAAUUAUGUUGGUCCACAUCCAUGACUUGGUAUUAAUGUUAUUCCCUCUAUUUAUUUCACAGAACCUACCAGUUCCUGAGGCAAGUUUUAUCCAGCCGGCAGAGGGUUGUCAUGGAGCUGAUUGUCAAAUACACAAUAUUUGUAUUUUGUACUGCAGAAACUGCAUUUUAGGGCUGGCUGUUUUCUGAACUUGACAUUGCCAAAUGUGAACAAUAAAAUGUUGUUGAAAAACGGGAAUUGUU
ensembl:lncRNA